rfam:Schistosoma haematobium scaffold1536_6, whole genome shotgun sequence.
ACACUGCUGAGGAGUCCCACAAUAGGAGGAAACGGCUGUUCAGUGU